CAAGUCGAGCGGUAACAGAGAGUAGCUUGCUACUCUGCUGACGAGCGGCGGACGGGUGAGUAAUGCUUGGGAAUAUGCCUUAUGGUGGGGGACAACAGUUGGAAACGACUGCUAAUACCGCAUAAUGUCUACGGACCAAAGUGGGGGACCUUCGGGCCUCACGCCAUAAGAUUAGCCCAAGUGGGAUUAGCUAGUUGGUGAGGUAAUGGCUCACCAAGGCGACGAUCCCUAGCUGGUUUGAGAGGAUGAUCAGCCACACUGGGACUGAGACACGGCCCAGACUCCUACGGGAGGCAGCAGUGGGGAAUAUUGCACAAUGGGCGCAAGCCUGAUGCAGCCAUGCCGCGUGUGUGAAGAAGGCCUUCGGGUUGUAAAGCACUUUCAGUAAGGAGGAAAGGUUAAGUGUUAAUAGCACUUAGCUGUGACGUUACUUACAGAAGAAGCACCGGCUAACUCCGUGCCAGCAGCCGCGGUAAUACGGAGGGUGCGAGCGUUAAUCGGAAUUACUGGGCGUAAAGCGUACGCAGGCGGUUUGUUAAGCGAGAUGUGAAAGCCCCGGGCUC
rnacentral:rRNA from 1 species